rnacentral:rRNA from 1 species
UACGUAGGGUGCAGGCGUUAAUCGGAAUUACUGGGCGUAAAGCGUGCGCAGGCGGUCUUUUAAGUCAGAUGUGAAAUCCCCGGGCUUAACCUGGGAACUGCGUUUGAAACUGGAAGGCUUGAGUGCGGCAGAGGGGGGUGGAAUUCCACGUGUAGCAGUGAAAUGCGUAGAUAUGUGGAGGAACACCGAUGGCGAAGGCAGCCCCCUGGGCUAACACUGACGCUCAGGCACGAAAGCGUGGGGAGCGAACGGG